rnacentral:rRNA from 1 species
AACGAACGCUGGCGGCAUGCCUAACACAUGCAAGUCGAACGAGACCUUCGGGUCUAGUGGCGCACGGGUGCGUAACGCGUUGGAAUCUGCCCUUGGGUUCGGAAUAACAGUUGGAAACGACUGCUAAUACCGGAUGAUGACGUAAGUCCAAAGAUUUAUCGCCCAGGGAUGAGCCCGCGUAGGAUUAGCUAGUUGGUGGGGUAAAGGCCUACCAAGGCGACGAUCCUUAGCUGGUCUGAGAGGAUGAUCAGCCACACUGGGACUGAGACACGGCCGAGAAUGCUACGGGAGGCAGCAGUGGGGAAUAUUGGAAAAUGGGCGAAAGGCUGAUCCAGCAAUGCCGCGUGAGUGAUGAAGGACUUAGGGAUGUAAAGCACUUUUAACCGGGAUGAUAAUGACAGUACCGGGAGAAUAAGCCCCGGCUAACUCCGUG